rnacentral:piRNA from 1 species
UAGAGAACGGAGCGCACUUUCACUUA